CGACAGGAAGCGGAGCAAGGAGUGGCCUUUUGGAGUGACAUCACGACCGGCCCGGACCGGCCCGGCCCGGCGGCCCACGCUUCGACACUAUUUAUAAACAACCACGUUGACCCAGUUCAUGGCAGAGCUUGAUCCUCAAGUCUACUAUCUGCGCUCGCAGCAUUAUGUAAGCGCCCUCCAGGCACGACGGCUCGCCUCCAACGGGCGAUUUAUGACACAGCGAGGGAAAACUGAUCCCGGACCACGCACAGCGUAUUCUCACGUGCGCACUACACCUGUCAGCAAAGGGCAAUUUUGUCAUGACACACCGCCGUGCCUCUUGUUGCCGUUCAUUCGUCAGCAUGUUGAAAAGAGUUUGGAGUGCUCUCUCCCUUGGAUGCUGACGUCUCGUGCUACUUUCGACGGCUCCGUGUGACUCAGCGAUAUAGGACGGGGGUGUCGAAACUUUGCCUUACCAGCACAGCGUUUUGAAAGGGUUUGGCUGUGGGUGCCGUCAGAGUCGGCAGUCAGCUGGCGCGGAUGUGCGCAACACCUAGCAAAGGAAAAAAGUGCUCGCCGUGUCUUUCUUGCCUUGAGCUCAUGUUGAGCCACUUUACAGCGAGUCAACACGCCAUGAAGGUUAGGAAGUUUAUUUAGUGAGACGGGGAGGCGUGGUGGAUUUUCAAGUGUGACGGGCUGUCAGUUCCUCUCUAGCUGAAGGUUGUCUGUCCAUCAUCACCGGGAGGAAGGGGGGGGUGUACUGGGAUCGGCGUCUGACUGAGUCAAGAGCUCUGUUGAGUAUCAACAACCUUUUCCACUUGCUCAUUGUGCCCACUGACAUGAACACUGCUGCUACGGAGAUAACGAGACAACUUGAUUGUGUGUAGAUAUUGACGAAAUGGAGGGAGUGGAAGGAAAAAUAAAAUCGGACUCAACUGUACAGCUUAACUUAUUUAUUUGACAUUAGUUUCUAUGUCAAAGUAUCAUUAUUCUAAAAUGUAUCCCAGUGUUAUGAUUUGUACGUGUCCGGAAGAAAUGAAUUGUUUUGACAUUAUUUCCUACGGGAGAUAUUGCUUCAGUUUUUCUCAUUCGAGAAUUAAGAAACAACCGCACAACCGUUUUGUUCAUUUGCGUUUGAAAUGGUGGAGCAGUCCUGUCACUUUAUAAGUACAUCCAAAAAGAUUUGAAGUCCACACUAUUUCAGUCCUCACGAGUUUGACUCGCGUGAUUUCACGGCAAAAGCGACGACCUAGAAAAUGGUUUUAUUCUAUUCCGAGACAAACGAUUCAAAAGCUAAUUGGACGACAACAAAAGCAAAAUGCAACGCGAUCUUCCCAAUGACGCACAAAGUUCCAGAUGAAAUAGAAAAGCUCUGAUGUCAAUCUCCAGCGUAGCACAUUUUGUCAGUCUUGUGCCUUGAGGAUACGCACAUUAUGCAACUAUGAUUCACACGGCAAGUACCCGUGGCUAUGAUUCUUUUCAAAAGCUCACCAACACUACGACAAGGAAGAAGAAAUGUUGU